GGAUGAGUAACACGUAAUUGGUAGCGUCGCGGGCUGUAACCCCGUUGCCCUUUAGGGUUUUGUAAGUUCGAGUCUUACCUCAUCCACCA
rnacentral:tRNA from 1 species